GACGAACGCUGGCGGCGUGCUUAACACAUGCAAGUCGAACGGAAAGGCCUUUCCGGAGGUACUCGAGUGGCGAACGGGUGAGUAACACGUGGGUGAUCUGCCCUGCACUCUGGGAUAAGCCUGGGAAACUGGGUCUAAUACCGGAUAGGACCGCACUUUAGUGUGUGUGGUGGAAAGUUUUUUCGGUGUAGGAUGAGCCCGCGGCCUAUCAGCUUGUUGGUGGGGUAAUGGCCUACCAAGGCGGCGACGGGUAGCCGGACUGAGAGGUUGGUCGGCCACAUUGGGACUGAGAUACGGCCCAGACUCCUACGGGAGGCAGCAGUGGGGAAUAUUGCACAAUGGGCGCAAGCCUGAUGCAGCGACGCCGCGUGGGGGAUGACGGCCUUCGGGUUGUAAACUCCUUUCGCCAGGGACGAAGCGUUUUGUGACGGUACCUGGAGAAGAAGCACCGGCUAACUACGUG
rnacentral:rRNA from 1 species